UACAGAGGUCUCAAGCGUUGUUCGGAAUCAUUGGGCGUAAAGCGCGUGUAGGCGGUCCGGUAAGUCCGCUGUGAAAGUCGGGGGCUCAACCCUCGGAUGCCGGUGGAUACUGUCGGGCUCGAGUACGGAAGAGGCGAGUGGAAUUCCUGGUGUAGCGGUGAAAUGCGCAGAUAUCAGGAGGAACACCAAUUGCGAAGGCAGCUCGCUGGGACGUUACUGACGCUGAGACGCGAAAGCGUGGGGAGCGAACAGG
rnacentral:rRNA from 1 species